rnacentral:rRNA from 1 species
UGGGGAAUUUUGGACAAUGGGGGCAACCCUGAUCCAGCCAUUCCGCGUGAGUGAAGAAGGCCUUCGGGUUGUAAAGCUCUUUCAGCUGGAACGAAACGGUACGCUCUAACAUAGCGUGCAAAUGACGGUACCAGCAGAAGAAGCACCGGCUAACUACGUGCCAGCAGCCGCGGUAAUACGUAGGGUGCGAGCGUUAAUCGGAAUUACUGGGCGUAAAGCGUGCGCAGGCGGAUUGUUAAGCAAGACGUGAAAUCCCCGGGCUUAACCUGGGAAUGGCGUUUUGAACUGGCAGUCUAGAGUGUGUCAGAGGGGGGUAGAAUUCCACGUGUAGCAGUGAAAUGCGUAGAGAUGUGGAGGAAUACCAAUGGCGAAGGCAGCCCCCUGGGAUAACACUGACGCUCAUGUACGAAAGCGUGGGUAGCAAACAGGAUUAGAUACCCUGGUAGUCCACGCCCUAAACGAUGUCAACUGGUUGUUGGGGGAGUGAAA